AUUGAACGCUGGCGGCAGGCCUAACACAUGCAAGUCGAACGAGUGGCGGACGGGUGAGUAAUGUCUGGGAAACUGCCUGAUGGAGGGGGAUAACUACUGGAAACGGUAGCUAAUACCGCAUACCAUCGGAUGUGCCCAGAUGGGAUUAGCUAGUAGGUGGGGUAAAGGCUAACCUAGGCGACGAUCCCUAGCUGGUCUGAGAGGUUGACGAGCCACACUGGAACUGAGACACGGUCAAGACGCCUACGGGAGGCACCAGUGGGGAAUAUUGCACAAUGGGGGCAAGCCUGAUGCAGCCAUGCCGCGUGUAUGAAGAAGGCCUUCGGGUGUUAAAGUACUUUCAGCGGGGAGGCGUUACCCGCAGAAGAAGCACCGGCUAACUCCGUGCCAGCAGCCGCGGUAAUAC
rnacentral:rRNA from 1 species